rnacentral:rRNA from 1 species
UGAAGAGUUUGAUCAUGGCUCAGAUUGAACGCUGGCGGCAGGCCUAACACAUGCAAGUCGAACGGUAACAGGAAGCAGCUUGCUGCUUUGCUGACGAGUGGCGGACGGGUGAGUAAUGUCUGGGAAACUGCCUGAUGGAGGGGGAUAACUACUGGAAACGGUGGCUAAUACCGCAUAACGUCGCAAGACCAAAGAGGGGGACCUUCGGGCCUCUUGCCAUCAGAUGUGCCCAGAUGGGAUUAGCUUGUUGGUGAGGUAACGGCUCACCAAGGCGACGAUCCCUAGCUGGUCUGAGAGGAUGACCAGCCACACUGGAACUGAGACACGGUCCAGACUCCUACGGGAGGCAGCAGUGGGGAAUAUUGCACAAUGGGCGCAAGCCUGAUGCAGCCAUGCCGCGUGUAUGAAGAAGGCCUUCGGGUUGUAAAGUACUUUCAGCGGGGAGGAAGGUGUUGUGGUUAAUAACCGCAGCAAUUGACGUUACCCGCAGAAGAAGCACCGGCUAACUCCGUGCCAGCAGCCGCGGUAAUACGGAGGGUGCAAGCGUUAAUCGGAAUUACUGGGCGUAAAGCGCACGCAGGCGGUCUGUCAAGUCGGAUGUGAAAUCCCCGGGCUCAACCUGGGAACUGCAUUCGAAACUGGCAGGCUUGAGUCUUGUAGAGGGGGGUAGAAUUCCAGGUGUAGCGGUGAAAUGCGUAGAGAUCUGGAGG